rnacentral:rRNA from 1 species
CGUGCCUAAUACAUGCAAGUCGAACGGUCUUUCUAUGGAAGCUUGCUUCCACUGAGAAGAUAGUGGCGAACGGGUGAGUAACACGUGGGUAACCGUGCCCAGUAAGAGGGGGGAUAACAUCCGGAAACGGGUGCUAAUACCGCAUAGUUUUCUUGAUCGCAUGAUCGGGAAAGGAAAGACGGCCUUUGUGCUGUCGCUUAUGGAUGGACCCGCGGCGUAUUAGUUAGUUGGUGAGGUAACGGCUCACCAAGACGAUGAUACGUAGCCGACCUGAGAGGGUGAUCGGCCACAUUGGGACUGAGACACGGCCCAAACUCCUACGGGAGGCAGCAGUAGGGAAUCUUCCGCAAUGGACGAAAGUCUGACGGAGCAACGCCGCGUGAGUGAAGAAGGUUUUCGGGAAUCGUAAAACUCUGUUGUCAGAGAAGAACAAGUUGGAGAGUAACUGCUCCAGCCUUGACGGUAUCUGACCAGAAAGCCACGGCUAACUACGUGCCAGCAGCUGC